rnacentral:snoRNA from 1 species
AUUGAAUCGAUACAAUCAUGUGACGAUUGAAAUAUGGGAGGUGCUACAUUAAAUGUUCCUUUCCAGACAAGGCCGCGUUUUUAUAGACGCGUGCACUAGAGUCCGUUAGGGUACAUAGUU